UCCCUGGUGGUCCAGUGGAUAGGACUCUGCAUUCUCACUGCUGAGGGCCCAGGUUCGAUCCCUGAUCAGGGAG